AAGACUAUAGACCUGCGGAGUACCUGCGGAGGGAUCAUUACCGAGUUUUCAACUCCCUAACCCUUCUGUGAACCUACCUAUCGUUGCUUCGGCGGACUCGCCCCAGCCCGGACGCGGACUGGACCAGCGGCCCGCCGGGGACCCCAAACUCUUGUAUUCCAGCAUCUUCUGAAUACGCCGCAAGGCAAAACAAAUGAAUCAAAACUUUCAACAAUGGAUCUCUAGAUCGGAAGAGCACAC
rnacentral:misc_RNA from 1 species